rnacentral:rRNA from 1 species
UACGGAAGGCAGCAGUGGGGAAUAUUGCACAAUGGGCGCAAGCCUGAUGCAGCCAUGCCGCGUGUAUGAAGAAGGCCUUCGGGUUGUAAAGUACUUUCAGUCGUGAGGAAGGUGUUAAGGUUAAUAACCUUAGCAAUUGACGUUAGCGACAGAAGAAGCACCGGCUAACUCCGUGCCAGCAGCCGCGGUAAUACGGAGGGUGCGAGCGUUAAUCGGAAUUACUGGGCGUAAAGGGCACGCAGGCGGUUAAUUAAGUUGGAUGUGAAAUCCCCGGGCUUAACCUGGGAAUGGCAUUCAAGACUGGUUAGCUAGAGUCUUGUAGAGGGGGUUAGAAUUCCAUGUGUAGCGGUGAAAUGCGUAGAGAUGUGGAGGAAUACCGGUGGCGAAGGCGGCCCCUGGACAAGACUGACGCUCAUGUGCGAAAGCUGGGGAGCAAC